rnacentral:rRNA from 1 species
UACGAAGGGGGCUAGUGUUGCUCGGAAUCACUGGGCGUAAAGCGCACGUAGGCGGCUUUUUAAGUCAGGGGUGAAAUCCUGGAGCUCAACUCCAGAACUGCCUUUGAUACUGAGAAGCUUGAGUCCGGGAGAGGUGAGUGGAACUGCGAGUGUAGAGGUGAAAUUCGUAGAUAUUCGCAAGAACACCAGUGGCGAAGGCGGCUCACUGGCCCGGUACUGACGCUGAGGAGCGAAAGCGUGGGGAGCGAACAGG